GACGUAGGGGGCGAGCGUUGUCCGGAUUUAUUGGGCGUAAAGAGUUCGUAGGCGGCCAAGCAGGUCCGCUGUGAAAACUCGAGGCUCAACCUCGAGACGUCGGUGGAAACCGUUUGGCUAGAGUCCGGAAGAGGAGAGUGGAAUUCCCGGUGUAGCGGUGAAAUGCGCAGAUAUCGGGAAGAACACCCGUGGCGAAGGCGGCUCUCUGGGACGGUACUGACGCUGAGACGCGAAAGCGUGGGGAGCGAACAGG
rnacentral:rRNA from 1 species